AUCCUGAACUCAACACACAUCGCACGUCAACAGUAGCCAAAGAGAUGCGCAGAAGACGUCGCGUUUGGAAACAUAUUAAGUGAAAUUGCAAGUUUUGAUGUGAAGAGUUGGGCCUAUCGACACCGAAUAAUCGUAGCGAAAUGGAGCAAGAACCGAGUCCCGAGUCGGUGACUUCCCCCUCUGGUCAAGGACCUGGGAAGUCAAAGAUCGACACACUACCAAAAGAAGAUCUAAUCAAGUAUGCAAAGAAACAGAUGGUUGUUAUGCAGAAGAUGAAAUCUAAAUGCUCAGAUUUGGAAAAAGAAGUUGGCGCACUGAAAGCCCAGCAGAAGAACAAUCCGGAUGAUUCCAUUAUUCAGGAAUUGACCAAGAGGAUGGACAUGGUCCUGCUAGAGAAAGCCGAGUCACAGCAGAAUCUGGUUCUUCUGCGCAAAGAAAAUGAAAAUGCCAAGCAGCAAGCACAGGAGCAUCUUUGCAAAAUGACUUCACUUCAGGAGAAGCUAGAUGAAAUGCAGAAUGAGCACUUGAGGACAAUCGAGGGGUUGCACAAAUCCUUUGAAAAAGCAGAAGAUAAACACAGGGAAGAGCUUGAACAUUUAAAGGGGCUAAUGGGAAAGAAAGCCGAAGAUUCCCAGGCAGUUGAGAAGCAAGAAGGGGAAAUUCGUGAGUUGAAAACAACUCUAGAUGAAAUUCAAAAACGCUAUGAGACAGCGCUGUCUGAGUUGCAGAGAGAGCAGACAGAGCACCAGGAAGUGGUAAAGGAGAGGCUUGCCGAGACCGAAGCGCUCAAAGAGGAACACCAAAAGGACGUCUCCGAAUUACACCGCGAACUGGAACGAGUUCGGGAGGAAUUGGCAAACGUCCUUCAGCUCCACGAAGAAGAGGUCAGAGACCUGAUGAUGCAGAUGGAGGAGAAUGCAGCAGACUUUGAGGUGGAAAGAGACAGACUCUUGUUUCUUCAGGAUGAGCUUUCCGAGCAGCUCGCGAUGAAGGAAAGCUAUCUACAGGAUGUGCAAGAGGAGGAGGAGGAUCCCAAUAGGUCAGGAGCGCAUAAAGACCCGUUAGUUUGCAAGAUGUUGAACUUCUCAGGUGCGGGGGACGAGGAGGAUGAGAUGAGUCAGUUGAAGGCAAAGGUGGAGGACCUGCAGGCCCAAAACACCAUGUUUCAGGAUGAGCUGACAUUCCUACGUAAUGUGAAAACCGAGCUGGAGUCUGACCUGCAACACAAAGAACAUGAAUUCCAAGUGGAGAAAGAGGAACUUGAAUUCAAGAUCGAUGAACUUCGUAUGACCAAAGAUGACACUGCGCAUUCUUCAGAACCAAAAACACAGAACUCUCAACCCUCUGAUGAAGACACGAGUCAGCAUGACCGAGUGGUGAAAGACUUGAAAGACCUUCACGAAACAGAGUUGCAUGAACUAGAAAAAAGACUGCGUUCAGAAUUCGAGGCCAACAAUGAAGUGCAAGCCCAGGAAGUUGAAUCGCUGAAAAACUUGUGUGAACAGUUGUCUGCCGAGAAGACUUGUGCUGUUGAAGAAUGCACGCACACCCAAGGGGUUCUUCAGACUUUCGAGGCAGAGUUAGGAGAAAAAACAGGUGACUUUAUAAAGCAAUACAAUGCCAUGAAGGAGCAAAAUGCACAUGCUGUUAAGGAUCUGGAGGAAAGGUUGAGAGUGGCGUGCAGCGAGAGAGACAACUUGAUGGGCCGCAUUGAGAGCCUUGAGCAAGAGGUCGUGUCAUUGCAGGACCUUAAAGUCUCAGCAGCUGCACAAAAGGAGGAAAUUCUGUCACAGCUUCAAAAUAGAGAGGCUACGGUGACGGAGCUAAAUGAGAUGCUGGAUGUGGAGAGUUCAGCCAAGAAAGAUCUCCAGAAGAGUUUGGAGAACACGCAUGCAGAAUUGGCGAAACUUAGAGUAGAUUUGGAUUUAGAGAAGUCAGAGAAAUGUUCAGUCUCUGACAGUUUGGCAAGUGUAUCCAAGGAUAAAACAGAAAUGCAGUGCAAGCUUGAUGAACUUGAAAGUGCCUUAGCUGAGAAGAAAAGCAUUGAGACUCUUGUCAACGAAUUUAAGGGCAAACUUUCCCUGGUCACCUCUGAGAAGGACGAACUCUGCAGCCGCCUUAAUGCUGUGGAGGCAGAGCACACAGCCCUUCAGGAAAAGGAAAGGGAAGCCCAGGAGCUAAUUUCUGGUUUGAAAUCAGAAUCAAUCAACACGUCUAAUGAAGAAACUGAGAAGCUUAAGCAGUGCCUUCGGGACAUGUCAGACGAGCAGCAUAUGCUAAAAUCAGACAAGAACGCCAUGGAGACAAAGCUCUCUGAAGCUUAUGGUCAUAUCAUCAACUUGUGUGAGCGAAAUAACUGGGAUGUGUGCGCAGAUGGCAAGGAUAUUCCUGCUCUUUUAGAUGCCCUCGUAGCAUUGGUAGCACAGGAAAAGCUCGACUUGACUGGCAGAACAGCAGAAUUAGCGGAAGAGUUGGAAAGGCUUGAACAGCACAGCACACAGACUCAGGUUGAACUCCAGGCUCAUGUCGAGGACCUCAGUCGUGAAAAGAGCUUGUUAAAGGGCAACCUUGAUGAGGUCGUGUCCGACGUGGAGGCCUUGCAGAAGGAUCUUACGGAAAUGAAGACCGUGAAUGAGAAAAUGAGAGCGGAAAACCAAGAGCUACUCGCUCAAAUUGCUGAGGCGUCAGAGAAGUUGUCAGCCGUGGAACAUGAUGGAAAGUCAGGGGAAAAUGAGCCAAGCCUGGUCGAAAUAAAACAUGAUGGAAAGUCAGGGGAAAAUGAGACGAGCCUGGUCGAAAUUGAUAAUGAGAGAAAGGAGCUCAAGCAGCAGCUGGCAGAGAAGGAAUCCCUUCUGGAGCAGCUCAGGCAGGACAUCGCUUCACUACAGGAGUCCACUCACAAUGAUGCUUCUAUCAGUGAAAAAAACACGAACCAGCAUAUUGAGAGAAUUGAAAAUCUGGAAAAGCAGAGCAAAGAAAAGGAUGAAAGAAUGAACAAAAUUAAAGCUGUGGCAGUAAAGGCCAAAAAAGAGCUGGACCUCAGCAGGAAGGAGGCUGCUGCAUUGAAACAAGAAGUGGAAGCUUUAAAACUAGAACGAGACAGAGUAUCAACGUCAAUGAAAGACAUUAUUCAUGGGGCUGAGGAUUAUAAGAACCUCAUGAUGGAUUAUGACAGACAGACAGAAAUGCUGGACAAGGAACGGGAAAAGCUUGACAACGCAGAGAAACAAAUUGGAGAUUUGACCAAGCGCUUACAAACUGCUAUCCAGCAGCAUGAGCAGGUUGCCUCAGAGAAAGAGGACCUGAUUGCUCGUCUGGAAACCCUUCAGAUGAACGUUAGACAGCUGGAGGCCCAAGCUUUGGAAAUGCACAAAGUCAAAUGUGCUCUGGAAAAUGACCUGGAGGGAGAAAGGGUCUUGAAAGAGCAGAAGACAAAGGAGCACAUAUCUGCUGCUAAAGAGGUGGAGGAGCUUCAGGCUCAGCUACAGAAACAACAUCAGCAGCUUCAGCAAGCUGGCCAGGAGCUGGAGCAGCUCCGCAAGGAUGCCCAGCAGAGCAGUCUGAUGGACAUGGAGAUGGCUGACUAUGAGCGGCUGGUGAAGGAGCUGAACAGCAGACUGGUUGAGAAAGACGGCCAUAUUGAAGAGCAGGACGCACAGCUGCAACGCCAGAAAAAGAAAGAGGAGAACCUGACCGAAGAGAUUGAAUCACUGAAAUCCCAAUUGGAUCAAGGCGAAGAGAAGUCGUCCAAGAUGAAACAGCUGCUGGUGAAAACAAAGAAGGAUCUGGCUGAUGCCAAGAAAACGGAAGCUUCUCAGAUGCUAUCCCACGCGGCUUUGAAAGGAGAGCUGGAGGCACAUCAACAACAACUAGAAGACUAUAAGAUCCAGUGUAGCGAGGUGACUGCGGAGCGCCACCGUCUGCAGGAGCAGCUGAAGGGGUCUGCAGAGCAGCACCAGAGGACUGUGACCUCCCUACAGCACCGACUCGCCUCCCUGCAGGAGGAGCACAGCACGGCCAAGGCUGAGCUGGCGGCUACCGCGUCAGAGUUUGAGAGCUACAAAGUGCGGGUCCAUAACGUUCUCAAGCAGCAGAAAAACAAGAGCUCCAGCCAGAAUGACAGUGAUGUCACCAAGCAGGAAAGGGAGCACAUGGAGGGCAUGCUGGAGCAGCUCAAGUCUCGUCUGCAGGACACUCAGCAGCACCUGCAGAGCAGCAGCGCGGAGCUGACGCAGCUGCAGGGCGAACAUGACACACUGCUGGAGCGCCACAACAAGAUCCUGCAGGAGACCAUCGUCAAAGAGGCCGAACUCAGAGAGAGGCUGCUGUCGCUGCAGUCUGAGAACAUGGCCCUGAAGGCGGAGCACGGCCAGACGGUCGCUCAGCUGAGCUCCCAGGCCGAGGUGGUGCGCAGCAGCUUCCGGGAGCAGCUCCGGCACGUGCAGGACGAGCACCGCGGCACCGUGGACACCCUGCAGCUGCAGAUCCACCGGCUGGAGAACCAGCUCUUCCAGCUGCAGAAGGAGCCCAGCGCCAGCUCGGCGCAGCUCCAGCAGGGGAAGAAGCAGAUGUCGGAGCGCAAGUCUACUGACCUGCCCCUGUUUGAGCUGCUGUCCAUGGCGCGGGAGGAAGGGGAGGGCAUGGAAACCACAGAGACGGAGUCCGUGUCCUCCACGGGAACGCCGCUGCCCUCCCUGGAGCAUCUCCUCACCAAUCCGGACCCCAAACACGAGCCGUUUGUGUGGCAGGUGGAGCCCACCAAAGAGGAGUUGAGCCAGAAGCUUAGCACGGCCACCCGCAGCAUGGAGCACAUGAACGGCCUGCUGCACGAGACCGAGGCCACCAACGCCAUGCUCAUGGAGCAGAUCACGCUGCUGAAGAGUGAGGUGCGUCGGCUGGAGAGGAACCAGGAGCGUGAGAAGUCCCUGGCCAACCUUGAGUACAUGAAGAACGUGCUGCUGCAGUUCAUCUUCCUGCGCUCGGGCAGCGAGAGGCAGGCCCUGCUCCCCGUCAUCCACACCAUGCUGCAGCUCAGCCCCGAGGAGAAGAGCAAGCUGGCCGCCAUCGCUCACGGUAAACACACCUCAUAUGUUACACUGGCUCUCAAUGGGGGGCGUUAGGGGGCUUAUGCAGGCUUAUGAUGAGGUCAUAGGGGCGAGAGUCAGGCAGGCCCUGCUCCCCGUCAUCCACACCAUGCUGCAGCUCAGCCCCGAGGAGAAGAGCAAGCUGGCCGCCAUCGCUCACGGUAAACACGCCGCAUAUGUUACACUGGCUCUCAAUGGGGGGCGUUAGGGGGCUUAUGCAGGCUUAUGAUGAGGUCAUAGGGGCGAGAGGCAGGCAGGCCCUGCUCCCCGUCAUCCACACCAUGCUGCAGCUCAGCCCCGAGGAGAAGAGCAAGCUGGCCGCCAUCGCUCACGGUGAGGAGGAAGGGGAUCGCUCCAGAGGCUCAGGGUGGUCGUCCUACCUGCACAGCUGGUCUGGCAUCCGAUAAGAAGAAAGGCAGCUGACAGCUUCAUGGCUAUCAGAUGGGUUCCUACAGGACUGUGCAUUAGUUACUUAAUCAUCAUCUUUUAUGUGUAUUUAAAAUAUACCAAACAUGCCUUUUUUGGGGGGUGGGGGGAGGGGGAGGGUGGAUCACUUUGUAUAUUUAAAAUAAUAAUAAUUAUUGACAUCAUUGUAGUUCUGUCCGUUUGUAAAGUACUUGAAAAUUGUAUAGGCCUUCCUUGCAGCAAGUCUGUGAGGUCUGUUGUUACUCAUGGCUUAUGGCUCACAUUUUCCAAGGUCAGUUCCUUUGUUAAUGAUAUCGUUCAACGUCUCCUGGUGCAUUACACGACUUGCCAUUUAACAAAUUGCAGCUGUGACCUAAAACUGUUUUAUGAACACUAUACCAUUACAACCUUUGGUUGUUGUCAACAUCUCUUAACUUCAACUGGAAGUGAUGUGAAAUCAUGUAUUGGGGUACGUUUCUUGAAAGCAUAGUUGUUAGCCAGUUAGCAACUUGGAUAGUUGCCAAUGGGAAAUUGCAUUGCAAACAACAAAGUAGCUAACAUAGUUAGCAACUAUGUUUAUUACAAAUAUAGCUACAGCCAUUGUAGACAGUGCAGGAUAUCAGAUGUGAUAGAGAUACGCAGCGUAGAGAUACACAGCUUUGCACAUUAUUUUUAGGCCAGUGGUUCAUGUCACCACAGUGAGUCAUGUAAUGUCAUUAUUGUGAAGUGAAGUAGACGGUGAACAGAAGGCUCAUCAAAUGAUAUGAUGCAGUGAAAGCUAGACACUGUCAAGAGAGGACCAAAUUGAUUUGUGUGUGUGUGUGUGUGCGUGUGCGUGUGUGUGUGCGCGUGCGUGUCUGUUUCACAUCGUCGGGGAAGCUUAUAGAAAUUAUUGACAAAUGAAUGAAAUCUCUUCACUGAAUGUAUUGCUAUAUGUUUUAAAUUAUUUACAGACGUUCAUCUAAAUAAUGAGCUUUUUUUCACCUUUUAAGACGUUGAGAGAGAUUAAACUGUCAUGUGCAAUUUCAUCACUGAAAAAUCUUGCUUUAACUGACAAAUACAUUGCUGUUCCAAAAUAAAACUGUAAUCUGUCCAACUGCCA